UACAGAGGUCUCAACCGUUGUUUCGGAUUCAUUGGGCGUAAAGGGUGCGUAGGCGGUCGUGCAAGUCGGAUGUGAAAUCUCAGGGCUCAACCCUGAAACUGCAUUCGAUACUGCGCGGCUAGAGUGCUGGAGGGAGACUGGAAUUUACGGUGUAGCAGUGAAAUGCGUAGAUAUCGUAAGGAAGACCAGUGGCGAAAGGCGAGUCUCUGGACAGCAACUGACGCUGAGGCACGAAAGGCCAGGGGAGCAAAACGGG
rnacentral:rRNA from 1 species